GAAGUAAAUAAAUUACAUUUAGUUUCGACCUAAAA
rnacentral:tRNA from 1 species